rnacentral:lncRNA from 1 species
GAACUACGAGGAUUUGAUCCUAAUCUUUUUAUAAGAUGGUACGUAGGCAAUGGGUUUAUCCAUCCAAACACAAAAUGUAAAUAACUUGUACAUUCUCUUCUCAUCUCUUCAAUCAUGUUUGCACAAAUAAAAUUUUCACAGGUACGUAGGCAAUGGGUUUAUCCAUCCAAACACAAAAUGUAAAUAACUUGUACAUUCUCUUCUCAUCUCUUCAAUCAUGUUUGCACAAAUAAAAUUUUCACAAGACAACAAC